GCGGCCCAACUGGUGGAGCAUGGCAUUACUGCUGCCAGGGUUAGGGGUUCAAAUCCCCACUGCAGCA